UACGUAGGUCGCAAGCGUUGUCCGGAUUUACUGGGCGUAAAGAGCGCGCAGGCGGCUGGUCAAGUCCGAUGUGAAAUCUCCCGGCUCAACUGGGAAACUGCAUCGGAAACUGAUCGGCUUGAAGAUGGGAGAGGGUAGUGGAAUUCCCGGUGUAGUGGUGAAAUGCGUAGAUAUCAGGAGGAACACCAGUGGCGAAGGCGAGUCUCUGGGAUGAUGCUGACGCUGAGGCGCGAAAGCCAGGGGAGCAAACGGG
rnacentral:rRNA from 1 species